rnacentral:rRNA from 1 species
UAAAGCAAAUAAGGGCGUAUGGUGGAUGCCUUGGGUCUGAGAGGCGAUGAAGGACGUGGUAAGCUGCGAUAAGCUUCGGGGAGCUGCACACAAGCAUUAUAUCCGAAGAUUUCCGAAUGGGACAACCUAGUACAUUGAAGAUGUAUUACCCCGCCGUAAGGCGGGGAGCCAACCUCCUGAACUGAAACAUCUAAGUAGGGAGAGGAAAAGAAAACAAUAGUGAUUCCCUGAGUAGUGGCGAGCGAAACGGGAAUAGCCCAAACCAUGGCGGCGUGCUGCCGUGGGGUUGUAGGACUGCAUUUAGAAGCUGUUAUCAAGCUGAAUCUUCUGGAAAGUUGAGUCAUAGAGGGUGAUAAUCCCGUAGGCAGAAAUUAACAGUAACGAGCAGUAUCCUGAGUAAGGCGGGACCGGAGAAAUCCUGCCUGAAUCUGCCGGCACCAUCCGGUAAGGCUAAAUACUCCUCAGACACCGAUAGUGAACCAGUACCGUAAGGGAAAGGUGAAAAGUACCCUAAACAAGGGAGUGAAAUAGUACCUGAAACCGUACGCCUACAAGCGGUCGGAGUCCGCCUCGGCGGAUGACGGCGUGCCUUUUGCAUAAUGAGCCUACGAGUUACUCCUCACUGGCGAGGUUAAGUUCUUUAAUAACGGAGCCGUAGCGAAAGCAAGUCCAAACAGGGCGCUUAGUCAGUGGGGGUAGACGCGAAACUUUGUGAUCUAUCCAUGGGCAGGUUGAAGGUGUGGUAACACACACUGGAGGACCGAACGCGUUGACGUUGAAAAGUCUUGCGAUGACCUGUGGAUAGGGGUGAAAGGCCAAUCAAACUGAGAGAUAGCUCGUUCUCCCCGAAAUGUUUUUAGGAACAGCCUCGGAUAUAAAGAAGUUUACUAGAGGUAGAGCUACUGAUUGGGCUAGGGGGCUUCACCGCCUACCAAACCCUGACAAACUCCGAAUGCUAGUAAAUAUCUCCGGGAGUGAGGCUGUGGGCGAUAAGGUCCAUGGCCGAGAGGGAAAUAACCCAGAUUAGCAACUAAGGUCCCUAAUACAUGGUUAAGUUGAUCAAACGAGGUGGAGUUUCUAUAACAGCCAGGAUGUUGGCUUGGAAGCAGCCACUCAUUUAAAGAGUGCGUAACAGCUCACUGGUCGAGAGACUCUGCACGGAAAAUAAUCGGGCAUCAAACCAUGAACCGAAGUUCUAAAUUGUACACCUCGGGUGUACAGUGGUAGGGGAGCAUUGAAAUCAGCUGCGAAGGUGUGUGGCGAUGCAUGCUGGAGCGAUUUCAAAAGAAAAUGUAGGCAUAAGUAACGAUAAAACAGGUGAAAAACCUGUUCGCCGUAAACCCAAGGUUUCCUGAUCAAUGUUAAUCAGAUCAGGGUUAGUCGGGUCCUUAGGCAAACCCGAAAGGGGUAGUUGAUGGAAAGUUGGUUAAUAUUCCAACACCUGCUUAUACUUCGAUGGGGUGACGAGGUAGUGAAAGGUCCGCGUUCUUACGGAAUAGAACGUUAAAGGGUGUAGUUAUAGGUUGUACAGGUAAAUCCGUACGACUUGGCGAACCUGAUAGUACAGCAAAGCUUCGGCCGCGCUGAUAGUGACCCUAAUCAAACCUCCGAGAAAAACCUCUAAGUUAUGGUAUAAGCAGCCCGUACCGCAAACCGACACAGGUGGGUGGGAUGAGUAUUCUAAGGCGCUCGGGUGAGCCGUGGAGAAGGAACUAGGCAAAUUGACGCUGUAACUUCGGGAUAAAGCGUACCACAGCGAUGUGGUCUCAGUAAAAUGGUACAACCAACUGUUUAGCAAAAACACAGGGCCCUGCAAAAUCGAAAGAUGACGUAUAGAGCCUGAUACCUGCCCGGUGCUGGAAGGUUAAGGAAGGAUGUUCGUCCCCGCAAGGGGGCAAAGCUUCUGACUGAAGCCCCAGUAAACGGCGGCCGUAACUAUAACGGUCCUAAGGUAGCGAAAUUCCUUGUCGGGUAAGUUCCGACCUGCACGAAUGGUCUAAUGAGUUGUACACUGUCUCCUCCACGAGCCCGGUGAAAUUGUAGUAUCGGUGAAGAUGCCGGUUACCCGUCACGGGACGGAAAGACCCCAUGAACCUUCACUACAACUUUGCAUUGAUUUUGAACUCUUGAUGUGUAGGAUAGUUGGGAGACUUUGAAGCUGUGUCGCUAGGCAUGGUGGAGUCAUCGUUGAAAUACCAACCUUUAAGCGUUUAGAAUCUAAUCCGCCUUCGGCGGACACAGUGCAUGGUGGGUAGUUUGACUGGGGUGGUCGCCUCCUAAAAAGUAACGGAGGCUUGCAAAGGUUCCCUCAGUACGGUUGGUAAUCGUACAUAGAGCGUAUUAGUAUAAGGGAGCUUGACUGUGAGACUUACAAGUCGAGCAGGGACGAAAGUCGGCUAAAGUGAUCCGGUGGUUCUGUAUGGAAGGGCCAUCGCUCAAAGGAUAAAAGGUACUCUGGGGAUAACAGGCUGAUCUCCCCCAAGAGCUCAUAUCGACGGGGAGGUUUGGCACCUCGAUGUCGGUUCGUCACAUCCUGGGGCUGGAGAAGGUCCCAAGGGUUCGGCUGUUCGCCGAUUAAAGUGGCACGUGAACUGGGUUCAGAACGUCGCAAGACAGUUCGGUCCCUAUCUGUGAUGGGCGCUAGUAAAUUGAGAGGACAUGACCUUAGUACGAGAGGACCGGGUCGUAUGUACCGCUGGUGUAUCUGUUGUGCCGCCAGGUGCAAUGCAGAGUAGCUAUGUACAGCCAGGAUAAACGCUGAAAGCAUCUAAGCGUGAAACCUUCCUCAAGAUGAGUUUACUUUUAAGGGUCGUCGAAGACUACGACGUUGAUAGGCUAUAGGUAUAAAGGUGGUAACAUCAAAGCCGAGUAGUACUAAUUGCCCGUAAGCUUUAUUUU